AUUGAACGCUGGCGGCAUGCUUUACACAUGCAAGUCGAACGGUAACAGGUUAAGCUGACGAGUGGCGAACGGGUGAGUAAUGCAUCGGAACGUGCCCGAUCGUGGGGGAUAACGCAGCGAAAGCGUAGCUAAUACCGCAUACGAACUGAGGUUGAAAGCGGGGGAUCGCAAGACCUCGCGCGAUUGGAGCGGCCGAUGGCAGAUUAGGUAGUUGGUGGGGUAAAGGCCUACCAAGCCUGCGAUCUGUAGCUGGUCUGAGAGGACGACCAGCCACACUGGGACUGAGACACGGCCCAGACUCCUACGGGAGGCAGCAGUGGGGAAUUUUGGACAAUGGGCGCAAGCCUGAUCCAGCCAUUCCGCGUGCAGGAUGAAGGCCUUCGGGUUGUAAACUGCUUUUGUACGGAACGAAACGGUGCUGGUUAAUACCUGGCGCUAAUGACGGUACCGUAAGAAUAAGCACCGGCUAACUACGUGCCAGCCGCCGCGGUAA
rnacentral:rRNA from 1 species